CCAUGCACGUCUAAGGAUAAAUAUUAUUUAACCAUAAACCUGCGAAAGGCUCAUUAAAUCAGUAAUAAUCUAUUCUAUUAUUAAUCCUAUUUGGAUAACUGUAGUAAUUCUAGAGCUAAUACAUGCAAAAAACCUGGACUUUACAGAACAGGUGUACUUAUUAGACUUUAAAACCGAUUACAAUUUAUUGUAAAUUUAAAAUGAAUUAAAAUAAGUUUAUGAAUCGCAGAUCAUUUUGUGAUGAUAAGAAUGAAUUUCUGCCCUAUCAACUUUCGAUGGUAAUGUAGUGGAUUACCAUGGUGAUGACGGGUAACGGGGGAAUUAGGGUUUGAUUCCGGAGAAAAGGCCUGAGAGACGGCCAUUACUUCUAAGGAAGGCAGCAGGCGCGUAAAUUACCCAAUCCUAAUACGGGGU
rnacentral:rRNA from 1 species